rnacentral:rRNA from 1 species
UGGGGAAUAUUGCACAAUGGGCGAAAGCCUGAUGCAGCAACGCCGCGUGAGCGAUGAAGGCCUUCGGGUCGUAAAGCUCUGUCCUCAAGGAAGAUAAUGACGGUACUUGAGGAGGAAGCCCCGGCUAACUACGUGCCAGCAGCCGCGGUAAUACGUAGGGGGCGUAGCGUUAUCCGGAUUUACUGGGCGUAAAGGGUGCGUAGGUGGUAAGUCAAGUCAGCGGUGAAAAGUCGGGGCUAAACCUUGAGGGUGCCGUUGAAACUGAUUUACUAGAAUGUGGAUGAUGCCGGCGGAAUGUGUCAAGUAGCGGUGAAAUGCAUAGAUAUGACACAGAAGGCCGAUUGCGAAGGCAGC